CAGGCAGGCACCACCUGAUGUGCAAGUUAUGACUUGCAUAAUGCUUGGGGACUUAAUUUUCACAGGGAGGGCCCCAUCUCAGGCUGAGACUGGGAAUCUGCCAGCAGGGCAGCACUAAUUGGAAGAUGACAAAUGUUUGCUGCUGGACCUCUGAUGAUGGUUGUGCUCCUGGAUCCCUGCCGUCUCCUAGGAUGACCAAUUUAUUUAGGCUGACUCGGGCACAGACCCUGCCUUCAUUUCAAAGAUGGUCAAUCAACAGGGAUAUGGCCUCAGUUCCAGCAAGCUGGGACAUUGCUGGGAUGGCAUCCUCAGGACUGUGUCUACUCUUUUCCAAGUUCCAGUCCAGAGCUGGAAGAAUUUCCUCAGGGAAGAGGAUAAAUAUUCCACCUUCAGCCUUUCCAGAGCAUUAGUGACACAGCAGUGUGCACACCUGUGGGAUUGGGUACAUCUCUCUGCCAAGGACUGGUUUACAGGAAUUUAAGAAGGGAACUCAGCUCUUCAAAUAAAAUAGCCACCUAAGAGAAUAAAAUUGUUCAUUAAUUUAUUUCAAGUUGAACUUCUAUACAAGUUUAUGCACUUAUUUUGCCUCACAGAAUCAUUUCAAGCAUCAUCAGUUCUCAGCUAACAGGAGGUACAUUUCUAGCAGUGCUGGGGAAUUCCUCCCAGCUGCACCAAAGGGUUCACAAACCAUCACUGAUCACAGACCAUCUCUGCUCACAUCCAGGACUUCUGCUACUCAUCAGCUCCUGAUCAUUUUCCUUUUUUGCUGCUGCUGUGCUCUUCUCCAGAGGCAGCAGGUGGUGGGGUCUGAGCUGAAGUGCUCUGCAGAGACCAGCAGAGGUGGUUGGCAGCAGUCAGGGUUUGAGGUUCUCAGCCUGGAGGAAGCUCCUCUCAAAGCCCCUGUGCUCACUCACUGUGAGCACCCUGCAGACUCCCUCUCUUCUUGGUGACAAGAAAAACUGAUGAGAACAGUGCUCAGCUCCUUCCUUCUCCCUUGGAAAGUCACUGCCUGGUUCUUAAAACUAGAUGGACUUCAACAUCCUGACACUUCCCUUCCAGCAAAGAAAAACACUUAAUAUACAAAAUCCCCACACCAGCAUUUUCAGAAUAUUUUCCAAUAAAAUAAACCAAAAAUAGAGGGAAAUUUCCAACUGAUAAAAUUAGCCAUGCCUGUCAGUGCUGCUGCCCUAAAACAAUCAGUCAUACCUGGGAGCUAAGCUCCCAUGAAAGGCAAUUGCAUCUGUGUGUUGGUAAUGCUUUUUGUCACUGCAGUAUGUCUUUGAGGUACCUCCGGCCCCACUAUGGCUGCUUUAACAUAAUCUCUUCUGAUAGCAAAUAGGAAUUUUAGCUGUAGCCAAAAAGGCUUGACAGUGUUGCUUUCAUCUUGGUACCAUCCAUGCUAAGGAUAUAAGCAGGAAAAUAUCACUAACAAUACAUCAGCUGGGCUUAUAUUGUCACAAAAAAUUCCAAAAAGACACUACCACUUUCUGAUGACACCGUCAUUAAACCCACUACCCUGGAGCAUGAUUAGUGCACACACAGACAAGGCAACACCAAGGAGAACAAAAUGAACUUGCAAUGGCUACUCUUUGAGUAAUUCUGAGUCAUCACUGAUUAUCUGGUGCAUGAUCAAGAAAGGAAACAAGCAAAGCCAUGCUGAUUUAUGCUCCAGAUGCUCCAUACUCUGCCAGGCUCAGGCUAGUGUGGCUGUGCUGUCCUCAGAACUGUCUUACAAUGGCCACACAUCAAGAGAGGACUUGGAUUAGCACAUUGAGGAAUUAGUGCUUGCAAAAAGGAAACAAAGUAAAAACUGGG